CGCACACCCAAAACGACCGGAUGUCCGAUCCGAACCACGACCGAGAUUGGGUGAGUGAAUUGAAUAAAAUUUAUUGAUUACUGUUUUGUAUGAGUUAGCAAUUACGGAUUAAGUUAAUAAUUUGUAAUGCUGUUGCUUGUGUAGGAGCGUGGUCCUGUUGACACCACCUCCACUGUCGAGGGCAUCUCCUCCACCUUCCCAGUCCAGAGACCUUCCCCGUGGAUCUCCUGCACAUAGUCAGGGGUACUAUUUUGAUGAUCUGUAUGCCCGUCUAAGCGGACUUAUAGCGGAACAAGUCGUCGGGCUACGUUGAGAGAUGAUAGAGAGGGUUGAUGAUCUGGGACAACAAUUAGUAGGAAGGGUCGAAGAUUUGUCGAAUGAUGUUAGAGUGCUGCGUGGCCAUUGUGUGGACCUUGAGGAUGAGAUUGCAACACUUCGAGGUGAUAUAGCCGGCAGGCGAUGGGUUGACGGAGACGGUGAUCGAGGGCUGAUCGAGAGGGUGAUAGAGAUGGGGGUCACCGGUAGUCGUACAUGCAUAAUGAUGAUGCAUGAAAAUAAUUUAUUUUAUCCGUGGAGCACGAUGGAACGGGAGUAGUGGCAGAGGAAGGGGGCCCGUCGGGGUUGGAGAAGGUGGCCUUGUCGGGGACGAAGACGGUGGAAGAUAAGGGAGUGGCCCUGUCGAGGACGGAGACGGUGGCAAUGGAGGAGGUGCCCCCGUCGGGGACGGAGAUUGUUGCAAAUGAGGGGAUGGAGGAGGUGGCGACCCCCGAGGUGGAGGAGAUGGCAAUGUAUAAGGCAAAAAAGUGUACUGUUGACAUGCCGGAGAUGGUGAUCAGCAAGAGGCCGAGAGUGCCGUCACAGUACAUCGUCUCUCCCUUCAUGGCUGAGACGAAGAGGAGGAGAUUCGUCGACAAAACGUAUCCCAAUCUGUUCCGGGAGGUUAACCAUGCCAAGUGUAAAGCAUUGGAGACUGAGUAACGAAGAAUGUUGCCCGGGUAAGUAUUGUAUGAUUUAGUAAACUACCAGAACUCGUAUAUGUUUCGUUUAACAUUUUCUCUAUUUUAUUUUCAGAGCCACGCACAUGAUAGCCGGAAUGAUGAUAUCAGACGCAUACAAGUGGUUUCAUAAUAUCACCACUCAGGGGGCUUAACUCGCCGACGAUGUAAGUGAAGUGUUAUUGUUACUUUUUGUAUACAUUAUGUUUAAUUUGUUAAAUGAAAUAAGUAUUUAUUUCUUUGUUUUCCUUGAUGUAGCACAUCGACUUGUGCGAUCGAGUUGAGAAAUAUCCACAGUCAUUCCACAAGCCUGGUCGAAUAAUACUGAACACCGAGUUCUUCCGUGCCGUUACCAUUGAGUAUCAGUCCCUCCAACUUCUGGGUAACAAGUAAGUGCUGCCCGCGUACAUGCUCAAGUGGGUCAUCAGGCUGUUACCGAGUUUUAGGAGAAAGCCAUGGGGGGUUGUACGCAUAUAUACAUUCCAGUGAUCAUGAAUCAGCACUGCAUUAUACUAGAGAUCGUGUUCCCUAAUUCGACGAUAUAUGUGUACAAUCUCGAUCAUUCAUAUCUGACACAGGGGCAGCUCGAGCGGAACUUAGAGCCGGUGAUUGUGAUCGUUCCUCUAAUGGCUAGACAUGCGGGCUUAACUGUGGAAGACAAACUAGCCAUCAUGCCAGACACGACGACGAUGAGAUAGUCUAUAUCGUAAGUUUUUGUAAUCUUUUUUUAAAUUUAGUAAUCAAUCCGUACGUAAUUGGAACCGAACUAACACAUAUUUGUUCAUUUGCAGGGGCGACUGUGGGAUUUUCGCAAUCAAGUAUAUAAAAUUUUUUAGUAUAGCACAUAAGGUUGAUGGAAUCAACCAGUCAUGGAUACAGAAUUGACGGAAUAAGUUAG
rnacentral:lncRNA from 1 species